rnacentral:rRNA from 1 species
UACGUAGGGCGCAAGCGUUGUCCGGAAUUAUUGGGCGUAAAGAGCUCGUAGGCGGCUUGUCACGUCGAUUGUGAAAGCCCGAGGCUUAACCUCGGGUCUGCAGUCGAUACGGGCUAGCUAGAGUGUGGUAGGGGAGAUCGGAAUUCCUGGUGUAGCGGUGAAAUGCGCAGAUAUCAGGAGGAACACCGGUGGCGAAGGCGGAUCUCUGGGCCAUUACUGACGCUGAGGAGCGAAAGCGUGGGGAGCGAACAGGA